UACAGAGGGUGCAAGCGUUAUCCGGAAUUAUUGGGCGUAAAGAGCUUGUAGGCGGUUUGUCGCGUCUGCUGUGAAAAUCCGGGGCUCAACCCCGGACUUGCAGUGGGUACGGGCAGACUAGAGUGUGGUAGGGGAGACUGGAAUUCCUGGUGUAGCGGUGAAAUGCGCAGAUAUCAGGAGGAACACCGAUGGCGAAGGCAGGUCUCUGGGCCACUACUGACGCUGAGAAGCGAAAGCAUGGGGAGCGAACAGG
rnacentral:rRNA from 1 species